rnacentral:misc_RNA from 1 species
GAAAUGCGAUAAGUAGUGUGAAUUGCAGAAUUCAGUGAAUCAUCGAAUCUUUGAACGCACAUUGCGCCCUUUGGUAUUCCAAAGGGCAUGCCUGUUCGAGCGUCAUUUGUACCCUCAAGCUUUGCUUGGUGUUGGGCGUCUUGUCUCCAGUUCGCUGGAGACUCGCCUUAAAGUAAUUGGCAGCCGGCCUACUGGUUUCGGAGCGCAGCACAAGUCGCGCUCUCUUCCAGCCAAGGUCAGCAUCCACAAAGCCUUUUUUCAACUUUUGACCUCGGAUCAUGUAGGGAUACCCGCUGAACUUAAGC